GCCGGGUGUGGUGGCGUGCGCCUGUAGUCCAGCUACUUGGGAGGCUGAGACAGGAGAAUUGCUUGAACCUGGGCAGCGGAGGUUGCAGUGAGCCAAGAUUGCGCCACUGCACUCCAGCCUGGGCGACAGAGCAAGAUUCUGUCUCAA
ensembl:misc_RNA Metazoa_SRP Metazoan signal recognition particle RNA